GACGUAGGGCGCGAGCGUUGUCCGGAUUUAUUGGGCGUAAAGAGCUCGUAGGCGGCUUGUUGCGUCGACUGUGAAAACCCGCGGCUUAACUGCGGGCUUGCAGUUGAUACGGGCAGGCUAGAGUUCGGUAGGGGAGACUGGAAUUCCUGGUGUAGCGGUGAAAUGCGCAGAUAUCAGGAGGAACACCGGUGGCGAAGGCGGCAUCCUGGACCGGCAUUGACGCUGAGGAGCGAAAGCCAGGGGAGCAAACGGG
rnacentral:rRNA from 1 species